rnacentral:sRNA from 1 species
GUCGUAGCAAAUUCUGCGACCGGGUUUAGCAGCCUGAAUGAUUGUGCGGACAGCCGCAGAUAUCUGAUAUUGCGGUAUUUUU